AGAACGAACGCUGGCGGCAUGCCUAAUACAUGCAAGUCGAACGAAGGCUUCGGCCUUAGUGGCGCACGGGUGCGUAACGCGUGGGAAUCUGCCCCUUGGUUCGGAAUAGCAGUUGGAAACGACUGCUAAUACCGGAUGAUGACGAAAGUCCAAAGAUUUAUCGCCAAGGGAUGAGCCCGCGUAGGAUUAGCUAGUUGGUGAGGUAAGGCUCACCAAGGCGACGAUCCUUAGCUGGUCUGAGAGGAUGAUCAGCCACACUGGGACUGAGACACGGCCCAGACUCCUACGGGAGGCAGCAGUAGGGAAUAGUUAGGACAAGUGGGACGAAAGCCUAGAUCCAGCAAUGCGCGUGAGUGAUGAAGGUCCUUAGGGUUAGUAAGUCUUCUUUAUCGAGAUGAUAAUGACAGUAGUCGGAGAAGUACGACCCCGA
rnacentral:rRNA from 1 species